rnacentral:RNase_P_RNA from 2 species
CCAGUUGACCGGGUGGCCGCUGGCAUGCGGGUAACUGCAUGCCGGAGGAAAGUCCGGGCUCCAUCGAAACACGGUGACGGCCAACAGCCGCCGGGGGCGACCCCAGGGAAAGUGCCACAGAAAGCAAACCGCCCCGGUCCGCCGGGGCAAGGGUGAAAGGGUGCGGUAAGAGCGCACCGGGUGCCUGGCGACAGGGACCGCACGGUAAACCCCACCGGGAGCAAGACCAAAUAGGGACGACGCGGGGCUUCAUGCCCCAGCCUGUUUCGAGGCCAUGUCGUCCGGGUUGGUUGCACGAGCGCGCCGGUAACGGCCGCCUCAGAUGAAUGGUCACCACGUCGCGGCAACGCGGCCCUACAGAACCCGGCUUACAGGUCAACUGGCGCU